AAUGGGCGCAAGCCUGAUCCGGCCAUGCCGCGUGAGUGAUGAAGGCCCUAGGGUCGUAAAGCUCUUUCGCCAGGGAUGAUAAUGACAGUACCUGGUAAAGAAACCCCGGCUAACUCCGUGCCAGCAGCCGCGGUAAUACGGAGGGGGUUAGCGUUGUUCGGAAUUACUGGGCGUAAAGCGCGCGUAGGCGGAUUAGUCAGUUAGAGGUGAAAUCCCGGGGCUCAACCCCGGAACUGCCUUUAAUACUGCUAGUCUUGAGUUCGAGAGAGGUGAGUGGAAUUCCGAGUGUAGAGGUGAAAUUCGUAGAUAUUCGGAGGAACACCAGUGGCGAAGGCGGCUCACUGGCUCGAUACUGACGCUGAGGUGCGAAAGUGUGGGGAGCAAACAGGAUU
rnacentral:rRNA from 1 species